AGGAUGUGGGAUUGCACAGACAACCAGGAUGUUGGCUUAGAAGCAGCCACUCAUUCAAAGAGUGCGUAAUAGCUCACUGGUCGAGUGAUCCUGCGCCGAAGAUUUCCGGGGCUAAAACUUACUACCGAAGCUACGGCAUCAGUAAUGAUGGGUAGGGGAGCUUCCCAUACGGGUUGAAGCAUGACCGUAAGGACAUGUGGACAGUAUGGGAGUGAGAAUGUUGGCAUGAGUAGCGAGAUGUGGGUGAGAAUCCCACAGGCCGUAAACCCAAGGUUUCCAGGGGAAGGUUCGUCCGCCCUGGGUUAGUCGGGACCUAAGCUGAGGCCGAAAGGCGUAGGUGAUGGACAACAGGUUGAUAUUCCUGUACUACCGAUAACCGUUUGAGAGAAGGGAUGACACAGUAGGAUAAGCUAAGCACACUGUUGGUUAUGUGUGCCCAAGCAUUGAGGCAGUCAAAGUAGGCAAAUCCGCUUUGAUAAUGCUGGGAUGUGAUGGGGAGCGAAAUUUAGUAGCGAAGUAGCUGAUUUCACACUGUCAAGAAAAGUCUCUAUCGAGGUUAAAGGUACCCGUACCGCAAACCGACACAGGUGGGUGAGGAGAGUAUCCUAAGGCCAGCGAGAGAACUGUUGUUAAGGAACUCGGCAAAAUGACCCCGUAACUUAGGGAUAAGGGGUGCCACCAUCAGGUGGCCGCAGAGAAUAGGCCCAAGCGACUGUUUACCAAAAACAUAGGUUUCUGCUAAGUCGCAAGACGAUGUAUAGGAGCUGACGCCUGCCCGGUGCUGGAAGGUUAAGGGGAUCUGUUAGAGCAAUCGAAGCAGUGAACUUAAGCCCCAGUAAACGGCGGCCGUAACUAUAACGGUCCUAAGGUAGCGAAAUUCCUUGUCGGGUAAGUUCCGACCCGCACGAAAGGCGUAACGAUUUGGGCACUGUCUCAACAACAGACUCGGUGAAAUUGUAAUACCGGUGAAGAUGCCGGUUACCUGCGACAGGACGGAAAGACCCCAUGGAGCUUUACUGUAGCUUGACAUUGAGUCUCGGUGCUACAUGUACAGGAUAGGUGGGAGACUAUGAAGCAUGGACGUCAGUCUGUGUGGAGUCAUCCUUGGGAUACCACCCUUGUAGUACUGGGAUUCUAACCAGAGGCCAUGAAUCUGGUCUUGGGACACUGUCAGGUGGACAGUUUGACUGGGGCGGUCGCCUCCCAAAAAGUAACGGAGGCGCUCAAAGGUUCUCUCAGUACGGUCGGAAAUCGUACGAAGAGUGUAAAGGCAAAAGAGAGCUUGAUUGCAAGACAUACAGGUCGAGCAAGGACGAAAGUCGGACUUAGUGAUC
rnacentral:rRNA from 1 species